rnacentral:rRNA from 1 species
GUAAUCGCGGAUCAGCAUGCCGCGGUGAAUACGUUCCCGGGCCUUGUACACACCGCCCGUCACACCAUGAGAGCCGGUAACACCCGAAGUCAGUAGCCUAACCGCAAGGGGGGCGCUGCCGAAGGUGGGGUUGGUAAUUGGGGUGAAGUCGUAACAAGGUAAC